AGAAAUUCCUGUGCUAGAAGUCGCAUUGUUAGAAUGUCUACAUUGUUCCCAGAGAUGUGGCACACCAAAUGGCUGCCCCCUGCUCAGGAAAAUCACAUGAAUGACAGUCUGACUCUUCUGCUUCCUCAUCAUGCGAAAUGGGGUUGAAGAAAUGUUUUACUAUCAGAGGAAACAUCCCAUUGCCAUUGUUCUAGAAAGAAUACCAAUUUGGCCUUUCAAGGCACAUUGAGGAAAAACAAAGGUUUAUCACUGAAAAAAAAAUCCCUUCAUAUAUGAUGCUGUCCUGAGGUGCCAACAUCAUUGUGGUUGCUAUAGAUGAAGAUCAUCACACUCUUUUGCCCACCUAUUGAUGUGUUGUAUCCCAUUAGCUGAUUUUUGAAUGUUGAACCAGCCUUACAUACCUGAGAACUAGACACCAGAGUCCCAUAUUGGGAAUGUGGCCUGCCCUCUUCAAGAUCUCUGUGAGCCUGACCGGAGGUCAGCAGGCAGAUCAGAGUCAAAAAAGCAAUGUGAUGAUGGAAGCAUAGUUGGAGUGACGUGAUUUGAAGAUGCAGGAAGCGGCUACAAGCCAAGGAAUGUGAGUUACCUCUAUAAGCCAGCAAAAGCAAGACAACAGAUUCUUUCCUGGAGCCUCUGGGAAUAAGGAAGCCCUGCCAAUUCCUUGACUUUUCAGCCCUGCAUUAGGACUCACUUUAGACUUUUGACCUUCAGAAUUGUAAGGUAAUACAUUUGUGUUGUUUUAAACCAUUGAGUUUGUGGUAAUCUACUACAGCAGCAAGACAAAUCUAUCACACCCUCCCUUUUCUCCUCUUUCUUUAGCACCAUGAUUCCACAACAUUUUUCAAGGAAAGGCACAGCAAAGUUCUUGUGGAAAGCACUCUGUUACAGAAUUCCC
rnacentral:lncRNA from 1 species